rnacentral:rRNA from 1 species
GAUGAACGCUGGCGGCGUGCCUAAUACAUGCCAGUCGAGCGAACAGACGAGGAGCUUGCUCCUCUGACGUUAGCGGCGGACGGGUGAGUAACACGUGGAUAACCUACCUAUAAGACUGGGAUAACUUCGGGAAACCGGAGCUAAUACCGGAUAAUAUAUUGAACCGCAUGGUUCAAUAGUGAAAGACGGUUUUGCUGUCACUUAUAGAUGGAUCCGCGCCGCAUUAGCUAGUUGGUAAGGUAACGGCUUACCAAGGCAACGAUGCGUAGCCGACCUGAGAGGGUGAUCGGCCACACUGGAACUGAGACACGGUCCAGACUCCUACGGGAGGCAGCAGUAGGGAAUCUUCCGCAAUGGGCGAAAGCUUGACGGAGCAACGCCGCGUGAGUGAUGAAGGUCUUCGGAUCGUAAAACUCUGUUAUUAGGGAAGAACAAAUGUGUAAGUAACUAUGCACGUCUUGACGGUACCUAAUCAGAAAGCCACGGCUAACUAGGUG